rnacentral:rRNA from 1 species
GACGAACGCUGGCGGCGUGCCUAAUACAUGCAAGUAGAACGCAGUUGCGAACGGGUGAGUAACGCGUAGGUAACUGCCUCAUAGCGGGGGAUACCUAUUGGAAACGAUAGCUAAUACCGCAUACUGUGAGAUGGACCUUCGUUGUAUUAGCUCGUUGGUGAGGUAAAGGCCCACCAAGGCGACGAUUCAUAGCCGACCUGAUAGGGAGAUUGGGCCAACUGGGAACUGAGCAAGGCCCAAGACUCUUCGGGAGGGAGGAGGUGGGAAUUUUUGGACAUGGACGGAAGUCUGACUGAGGCACGCCGCGUUAGUGAAGAAGGGUCUCGGAGCGUAAAGCUCUGUUGAUAGAGAAGCGGUACCGAACCAGAAAGGGACGGCUAACUCCGUGCCAGCAGCCGCGGUAAUAC